UACGUAGGGUGCGAGCGUUAAUCGGAAUUACUGGGCGUAAAGCGUGCGCAGGCGGUCUGUUAAGACCGAUGUGAAAUCCCCGGGCUUAACCUGGGAACUGCAUUGGUGACUGGCAGGCUUUGAGUGUGGCAGAGGGAGGUAGAAUUCCACGUGUAGCAGUGAAAUGCGUAGAGAUGUGGAGGAACACCAAUGGCGAAGGCAGGGUCCUGGCUGGCACCUGACGCUGAUGUGCGAAAGCCAGGGGAGCGAACGGG
rnacentral:rRNA from 1 species